rnacentral:lncRNA from 1 species
AUGCCAUAGAAACACAGUCUGGGGAGUCAGCACCCUGCUGAAUUGUAGUAAACUAGACGUCCAAUCUACUAGACCAUCAAAGAUGCAGAUUUGGAUUUUCUAUUUCAUAGUUAUUGAAAUCAUAAUGAGAAUGAAGUACUGCCACUAAGGUAAAGGUGCUAACUUGCAAGGAGCUGUUCUCAAAACAUUGGGUGACAAAGAAUUCACUUUUACAAAAAUCGAGCAGGAUAUUAAAGACAGCGAACUAUAGAACAAAUAUGGCGAAGCUGCAUGAAGUCUAUGUUGAAUUUUAUUAUU